rfam:Cricetulus griseus cell line CHO-K1, whole genome shotgun sequence.
GGGGUUGAGGGGGGCAGCCUCAGCAACAUCUGUCACUCCAUUGCUUGUCAGGAUUAUUUAGCUGAUUUGUCUGACUGGGCAGGUGUCCCCUCUCUCCCUCAGUGCUCCAUGUGCAUCCCUCUUGAAGCUUCGCACUCUGUUGAAGAGGACACUCAUCCCAGGUAGAGGGGGGAUGGGAAACUGGGCCAA